rnacentral:rRNA from 1 species
CAAGCCCUGGAAACGGGGUCUAGUACCGGAUAUGACUGUCCAUCGCAUGGUGGAUGGUGUAAAGCUCCGGCGGUGCAGGAUGAGCCCGCGGCCUAUCAGCUUGUUGGUGAGGUAGUGGCUCACCAAGGCGACGACGGGUAGCCGGCCUGAGAGGGCGACCGGCCACACUGGGACUGAGACACGGCCCAGACUCCUACGGGAGGCAGCAGUGGGGAAUAUUGCACAAUGGGCGAAAGCCUGAUGCAGCGACGCCGCGUGAGGGAUGACGGCCUUCGGGUUGUAAACCUCUUUCAGCAGGGAAGAAGCGAAAGUGACGGUACCUGCAGAAGAAGCGCCGGCUAACUACGUGCCAGCAGCCGCGGUAAUACGUAGGGCGCAAGCGUUGUCCGGAAUUAUUGGGCGUAAAGAGCUCGUAGGCGGCUUGUCACGUCGGUUGUGAAAGCCCGGGGCUUAACCCCGGGUCUGCAGUCGAUACGGGCAGGCUAGAGUUCGGUAGGGGAGAUCGGAAUUCCUGGUG